CAGCUUAAAAAGGUAUAAUUGUCAACUAAAUCGAGUAUGCUUCCCGUUUCAUGCACUUAGUUGAACAUCAAAGUAGAUUUGCUUGACUGAUUUAACUGUUGGAA